UAGUGACUUUGUAAGUCAUAGUUACCCCUUUUUUAAUACAGAUCUUGAGAUGCCAGUCAUGCUGACCAGUGUGGAGGCAACGAGGACAGCGGUUAGAGAAAGGCUCUAACAGUCAUUCCAUACAUGCAGUGUAGCCACUGCUAACCAAAGAUCUUGAGAUGCCAGUCAUGCUGACCAGUGUGGAGGCAACGAGGACAGCGGUUAGAGAAAGGCUCUAACAGUCAUUCCAUACAUGCAGUGUAGCCACUGCUAACCAAAG